GUUCAUAUUCCUUGUUGCACUUUUCAUACUAUAAAUGGAGCAAAUAUAUAAUAUAUAAAUACAUACCAUGAUCAACCACCCUAUUACCUUCCAGUUUUAAGAGAGAGGAGCUAACUGGAAGUUGUGGCCAACUUGCCAGAGAAAGAUCAAAUGAAUAAUAACCAAGCAAGUCAAUCUUCUUCAACCAAAGUUGAAAGGAGGGUUGUAGAGAAGAAUAGGAGAAAUCAUAUGAAACUUCUUUACUCAAACCUCUUCUCUCUCCUCCCUAACCAAAAUCCUAAGGAGCCACUAAGUCUGCCCGAACAAAUAGAUGAGGCCAUCAACUACAUAAAAAGCAGAGAGUCGAAGCUGCAGAAAUCAAAGGAGAAGAAGGAGAGUUUGGUGGGCACUAGAAAAAGAUCACAUGCUACGUCAUUCGUAAAUGUUGAGAGCAUGGAACCAAACAACUUAAGUAUUGAGAGCGUAAGGAGCACAAAAGCACCCCAAAUCCAAAUCCAUGAGAUAGGCUCCACAGUAGAGGUAGUACUGACUAGUGGCUUAGACAAUCAUCAGUUCAUCUUCUACGAAAUUAUUCGAAUACUUGAAGAAGAACAGGCGGACGUUGUGCAUGCUAGCUUUUCAACUCUAGGAGACACUAUAUUUCAUGUAGUACGUGCAGAGAUGCACAAGUCUGUGUUGGAUUUUGGGGCUGCAAGAAUAACUGAAAAGCUUAAUAGAUUUGUCAAUGGAUCCAAAAGCGACCAAGAAUUACAGCAAGAUGGCUUUUGGGACUUCGAAUUCGAGCCUGUGGCAAUAAUAUGGGAUCAGUUGACAAGUACUCCACGAAACAAAUUAAUCAAUCCUAUUUCCCCGGUGAACUAACUAUGUACAUUGAACAAAACUGCAAAAAUGGGUCGCUUUCAUGCAACGAUAUUAGGGGAGUGAGAUUUGAGCUAAAUCAUGUAUUAUAAAAUAUAUAACAUACAUAUACGAUGUGACAGCUUAAGUUGGCUAUUAAUUUUUAUAACAUUAUAUAAUCUGUAGUGUAA